GUGUUAGUUGCUACACAUAUACUAAAUUGGAACGAUACAGAGAAGAUUAGGCAUGGCCCGCCUGCCGCAAGGAUGGACACGCAAAUUCGUGAAGCGUUCCUCAUUUUG
rnacentral:snRNA from 1 species